UUGAUAACUUUUGAUCCGGAGCUCCGAUUGACGAGUCGUUUGUGGCCACACGUCGGGCUUGCCGAGCUCUUCAAUUCUAUUCAAACAAAACAGGGUCCACUAGACUUGAUUUCUUGUGGGUAUUGCUCAAGGAUCAGUGGGUAAAGGUAGUGUGUAUGUGAAUAUUGAUGCUUGUUGAAGCUUGUUG